UUUCUCUGUUUUUUUUGGAACAUUUCUGUGAUUAAUCUGAACAUUUCUGAGUUUUCAAGCAAAUUUUCAA